ACCCCCCAAGCCUGUUUUUAGGUUCAGUAACUCCACCUGUGCUCAUGUUAGCAGCUGGGUGGGUUUGUUCCAGGCAUGCUGGGGGGCUGCAGGUUUCCCUGCUUGGCAAUCAGGGCUUCAAGAAGCCCAAGGCUUCCAACAAAACUAAAGGGCUUCUCUCUGAGAAGUGCUGUGGAGAUGGUGGUAAGGUUGCGGUGCCCAGCAAAAGGAGGGGGUGAAAGUUGAUGCUAUAGCAGCAAAAAAAGGAAAAAAAAAAAAUAUUUUCUGAGUUUGUGGAGCUGGGACAUCUAAUGAAGCCCAGGCCCUGGAAGCAGGGCUGGAGAUGUUCUGUGGAUGCACAGGGAGCAGAGGAUCUGCUGCAAGGAGGAUGGGUCCUCACUGCCAUGGAUAACCAGGUCAUUUGCUGCCUCUUACAGCAAUCAGCAAGGAACAACGGGAAGCACCAGCAAGAGCUCCCCUCCUCCCCAGGUCCUCCAGAAUGCAAGAGAAGGGACAUGUUGAGGUCGAGGCUGGAGGAGAGGGCCAAGCGUGUCACCGAGCACGAGGCACCGCUGUGCAUUUCACCCCUGCUGAAGGAAACCAUCCCCAGCGAAGCCAGUGAGGCUGUCAGCCCCAGAAGAAGUGACAAUAAGCACCAGGAGGGCGAUGAAAAGCAACAGAAACAUCUCCACCAUUUUUUUUUUCCUUCCGAUAAAGGUCAAUUGACUCCCUGCCACCUUGGAGCCCAUGACAAAAUCAAUGGUACUUCAUCCAUAAUUUGA
rnacentral:lncRNA from 1 species